CAGUUCAGACUGCAGGCUGCAACUCGCCUGCACGAAGUCGGAGUUGCUAGUAAUCGUAGGUCAGCAUACUACGGUGAAUACGUUCCCGGGCCUUGUACACACCGCCCGUCAAACCAUGAGAGUUGGCAACACCCGAAGUCGGUAGUCUAACCGCAAGGAGGACGCCGCCGAAGGUGGGGUUGAUGAUUAGGGUUAAGUCGUAACAAGGUAGC
rnacentral:rRNA from 1 species